rnacentral:rRNA from 1 species
UACGGAGGGUGCAAGCGUUAUCCGGAUUCACUGGGUUUAAAGGGUGCGUAGGUGGGUUUGAAAGUCAGUGGUGAAAUCUCCGGGCUCAACCCGGAAACUGCCAUUGAUACUACAGGUCUUGAAUUUUCUGGGAGGAUAGCGGAUAUGUCAAUGUAGCUGGUGAAAUGCUUAGAUAUGACAUAGAACACCAAUUGCGCAGGCAGCCGUAUCUUACAGGGAUAUUGACACUGAGGCACGGAAGCGUGGGGAUCAAACAGG